AUUUUAAAACUUCUCCUUUUACCUUUAACAAUGUUUGUAUUAAUAGGUAAAAUUUGACCCCAUUUGGUUCUUAAAAUUCCAGUCUUUGCUUUUAUUUAAGGUCUCAUGAUCUGAGUGCAUAUCCUCUCCAAGAAAGAAAUUGCACCAAUAGUUGUUCCUGUGAACUAGCAAAUUUUAGUCUUCCCUUGUUUUGUAUUAAUGUCAAUAUAUAUCAGUAUCACUCAGAAAACAGACACACACACACACACACGAGGAUAUUUGUAAAAGCUAAGGUAGUUUGUAAGCAUAGCUGCAAAAGUACUAAUAAUAUUGAUCACACACACACACACACACACACACACACACACAGUAGUUAAUUAGCCCUAUUUCCUUGGAUACAAUCAGUGCAGAGACCCUCUCCUAGAGGAUGCAUUGUUCUAAAGGAAUAGAGACUGGAUCCAUUCAUAAUAUAAUUGAGACAUAUGAUCAGGCAAACCCAGGUAAUAAAUUCUAAAUUCUCAACCAGAAGCUAUAUUAGAAUAACUUGAGAAGCAUUUUCAAGCCACACAAGCCCAUCCCCCAACUCCCUCAAACCCCAGCUCCCUGGGAGAUUCUAAGAUGCCCUCUAUUCUUAAGAGAAAUAUAAGAUUGGAGUCAUUCCAUUCCUUCUUUAUUCCGCUUUCUGAUAUCUCUACAUGAGAUCAUUUAUAAUGAACAGGGGACAUCCGAGUAGAUUUUUUUAAAAAAAGAGAACAGGAAACAAAGAAGGAGAAAAUAUUUUCCCCAAAUUUCUCAUUGGUCCAAAAGAUGGAAUACCUGUUAAAACUGACAACGGAUAUUUUUUAUUUUGCACCAUACAUUUCCUGUCACCUUCUCUGGCAUGUUGGUUUUAUUUAUUUGUGAGGUAGAGAAUGAUUCCUGUAAAGCUUUUUUUUUUUUUUUUUUAACCUAGGAUCCCAUACUUUGAUAAAAGGAACCAAAUGGAGAUCUCAGACUCACACUGGGCUUUCAUUAAUGAGGGUCAUUACCCCUGUUCUGAACUAUUGACAAAACGUUAUAGCAUUCUUGAGAGCAGAAUUUGUAUUCUUUUAAAUAAAGAACUAGUUAAUUAGAAGCUCUUUCUAAUGAAAAUUACCUAAUUCUGCUGCUAAGUGCGGAACUUUAAAAAAAAAAAAAGACAGUUUGCAAAAAUGCAUAUUGAUUCACAUAAAUCAAUAAGUUAGAACAUGAUUGAGGCUUGAAUUUCUCCAGAGUUCCUAUAAUGUCCUCUACCUUCCUGGUGCAAAAGCAGAAAAUGUUUGCCUGCAUUUUGAUUUCCAACAUGGAAAUUAGAUAUUAAUAUAUACAGGGAAAGACAGAGACGGAGAGAAAAUACUUAACACCCCAAGAAGGAAGGAACCGUGCCAUUACUCACAAGUGGCAAUGCCAUGAGUGACUUACUCAGUCAUCCUGUAACAAGUGCAAAUCUGUCUCUCUGAUCAAAAAGAAAAGGGAUUUAAAAGGCAUCUACCAGCCCUAUUAUAUUUAAGUGCUCUUGUGUUUGGCUUGAAAACCCAGGCCUUUGUAAUCCGGACUGUAACUAUUUACUCGCAGGAGACUUGCUCUGAACAGAAAGAAAUGUGAAGUCAGUUUCUUUUUUUAAGCCUGAAGACCUAGCGUGUCAUAAUUAUUUUGGAAAUGGAGGCCAAGCUGUUCAAAGCUUAUUGGGGUUUAUUUUCUAAAAAUUUCCUCUUUGUCAGCCGAGGUGACAGCUAGGCCAGGUGACCCCAAAUGAGACUUAUCGACCUCCAGACUUUUCAAUCAGAGGCUUGUCACCUUGAAAUGGCCAGCAUUUGCACACGGCAUGUCUGUAUACCCCUGUGCAGGACAUAAAUAUGAAUCUGGUCAGUCUGGCUCUUACUUUGCACGUUAAUGAUUCCCAGAAAUUGUCUGGAAUUGAGCUACAAAGGUGGUCUCGCGCUCCCCUGUGAUUCCUGUCUUACCUGGUGACAUACCUGGUUUUCUGAGACAGCCACACAGAGGCAGAAGUGAAGAGGAUAUUUGUACCUGCAAAGGUGGUCUCUCCUGCAUUAGGGCACCGGGCGUGGUAUGUAUGUUAGCUGAUUCAUUCUUCUGCAUUGAUGAGUCCACUAAAAUACAAGCUCUUUGGAACUGUGACAGUGUUUCAUGUAGCAUUUGGGAUGCAGAUGAUAUUAAAUAAGCAUUAACUCAUUUGUGGAUGGAUUUCUGCAUAUGUUCCUGUGGUUAAACCCCUUGUUGGACAUGAGAAAUAAAAAAAACAUUUGAAAGCUAUAUAAAGAAGCUUGAAAAUAUAUUUAUUAUCUGCUGGUUUCAUUACGGCUCUUUCAAAAAAAGUAGCAACAGCUAAAUAAAUCUACCUUGAUUUCUCUAUGGUCUUACUCUCCAGCAGAGAUUGAAGCAAUAGUUGCUUUUUUUGUUUGUUUGUUUGUUUUAGCUGUUCAGGGAUGUAUUUCUAGUGUUGAGCACAGUGUCGGUCACACAAUAAGUGCUCAAUAAAUAUUUGGUUAAUGAAAGAAUGAAUAUGUUAGGCAAGUAGUGGAGAAGUUAAAAUAGUAAUAAUGUAUUGUCCUUUUCUAUAGAUGUAUUACCUACAAACCAGGUAUAUUUCUUAUUUGCUCUUUUUUUUCAGUUCUUUUUUGUUUUUUAAUCAGAAUAUAGUUGAUUUACAAUGUCAUGUUGGUUUCAGGUGUACAGCAAAGUGAUUCAGUAUAUUAUUUUUAAGAUUCUUUUCCCUUAUAGGUUAUUAGAAAAUGUUGAGUAUAGUUCCCUGUGCUACACUGUGGGUCUUUGUCAGUUAUCUAUUUUCUAUGUAGUAGUGUGUAUCUGUUAAUCCCAAGCUCCUAAUUUAUAUUUCCCUUUCCAAUAAGUUUGUUUUCUAUAUUCCUGAGUCUUCUGUUUUGUAAAUAAGUUUAUUUGUAUCUUUUUCUAAAUUCCAUGUGUAAGCAAUGUCAUAUGAUAUCUGUCCUUCUCUGUCUGACUUACUUCAGUUAGUAUGAUCAUCUCUAGGUCCAUCCAUAUUGCUGCAAAUGGCAUUAUUCUGUUCUUUUUAUGGCUAAGAAUAUUCCAUUGUAUAUACACCACAUCUUCUUUAGCCAUUCAUCUGUCAGUGGACACUUAGGUUGUCUCUAUGUCUUGGUUAUUGAAAAUAGUGCUUACUGUGAACACUGGGGUGCAUGUAUCUUUUUGAAUUAGAGUUUUCUCCAGAUGCAUGCCCAGGAGUGGGAUUGUAGUAUCAUAUGGUGACUCUUGAUAAGACAAUAAUAUUGCUUAUUAUUUUGAAUUUGGUUAAAAUAAUAAGUGUAUAGCUACUUUGAGACCACCUCACAAAAUCAUUUAUUUUGGCAGUUACUAGUUGAAUUUAGUACUGAAAUAGAAAGAUAUGGCAUUACUGAAUUGAUGGAUGUGAGUUUGAGCAAGCUCUGGGAUUUGGUGAUAGAAAAGCCUGGCAUGCUGCAGUCCAUGGUGUCACAAAGAGUCGGACAUGACUGAGCGACUGAACUGAACUGAGAAAGAUAUGGGACCUACAUUUGUUGUUGGUAAAUCUGUGAGUCACAGUACUCAUGGUACUUUGUUCUCUGUCAUGAACAUGAAGCUUUGUUUUGCUGGACACAUUCUAAUUUCUUGUGCUGGAGCCACAAUCCAGAAGUGACAGUGAGGUUCAUGAAGAAGAACAUGAGCCUGAGAACUGAGUCCCAGUCAUUGCCUUGUCACUAACCAGCUAUGAGACCUUGCACAUCCCUUCUCCUCAGAACCUCUGUUUCUCCUGUAAACCGCACUCCCACCACGUGGCUUGUCAUAUUUUAAAGGUAAUAUAGACAAAAGGAGAGCAAUCUGGUUGAAGGGCCUCCAGAUCUUUCUCUGCUCUAGUUUUGUCUUUGGCAAACUAGAUAAUAUUGACACAGAUCCAUAACUUUUCUGUGACAGGUAAGGGGAAAAAUCUAUGUGCAGAGCCUCAUUCAAUAAGCACUGAGCAAAUCCCAGCAAUUACUAGUUUUUAUUCUAUAUCUAAAUGUAUACAAUUUCAUGAGAAAUUGUACCAGCCUAUCAAUAGUUUGUGAUUUUAGUCGAUAAGCUGUGUCCAACUCUUAGGACCCCAUGGACUGCUAUAGUCUAUGGGGUCGCAAAGAGUCACAACUUAGAGACUGAACAAUACCCUCUUAUUACAGUAUUCUUCUAAACAUCUGACUAGAUGAACCUUACCUCCCCUUUUCUGAUCUCAAAGAUACUUCUAAUUCCUUAAUGUUUGUGACUAGAUUGUUAGAAAGAUGUGUUAAGAUAAUUUUUAAUCCACUAUGUUUCAAAGAGUUAUAACCAAUAGUGCCUUUUAAAGCUAGUGGGAUUCUUUUUUUUUUUUUUUUUUUUGACCUCUCCUCAAGACGUGUGGGAUCUUAGUUCCUGACCAGGGAUUGAACCAGGGCCCCCUGCAAUGGAAGCCCAGAGCCCUAACCAGUGGACCACCAAGGAAUCCCUAUAGUGAAAGUCUUUUGAAGGUGAAUUGAAUGUUUUGCCCUAGAAGUUUAUACGUGCAUGAAUUUUAAGUCUCCUCAUAAUAACAGAGUUACAAAUAACAUUUGAAUAACUACUGAAAAAGAGAUUUCUUCACAGUUCAGGUUUGUAUUCUGGCAUUGUUUUGUCGUAUCAGAGUUGAGUGGGGUGACCUUGAGGAGAGGCCCGGGGAUCACAGAUUAAUAUCACUGCUUCACUCUGUCCUUCUGAGGACCUAUUGCCAUGGAUGGAUUUCUCUUAAAAAGUUUGGGUCUUCUCUUUUUUAAUUAGAUUUUUUAGUUUUGUUUUUCUCUUUUGGGGGAUGGGGGUGGUGGUGAGGGUUCUCUUUUAACUCCAGUGUGUUUAUCAGCGUAAUGAGCCUCUUCGUGGUAUUUCCUCCUCUUAGAACAAUGACGUUGGCUUUUUCUUGCUUACGGGUUUAAUCCCAUCCACAUGCCCCUCAUUUAUUGCAAUAGGAGUGCCGAACGUCUCAGCCAAAGGCAAGCGCCUCUUGUGUGUCUGCAGCCUGUUGGGGCCUGGUGAGCACCACCUCGUCAGAAACUGCUUCUGGGUGACUGGGAGGGCAGCCUCUGACCUCUGGGGUGCGCUGGAAAGGUACCUAGAGACGGGUAUUUCACUGCAGGCGACCGGGGACUUGACAGACUGGAGAGCCAGGGUACGACUCACAUCUCUGGAGGGGUUGCUGUGGUGUAGGGUCCAGGUCCCCGUUCUAGGACCAGGAAAUUUCAUGCCCACAAGCUGCCAGAAGUGAGGCGUCACAGUACAGUCCUGCCCUGGAAGUAGUUUCUGCCAAAGCAAGCUAUCUCACCAAGGGCUCCGUGACUCAUCCAUGCAGAAGUCCAAAGGCCCCGCUCCCUCACCUCAGAUAGAGACAACUCCAAGGGGCUGUUUGAGCCCCGAGCUCCUGGUGGGAUCAGCUGUGUCCCACUUGCUUUCUUCUGUCCGUCCACUCUGCUUCCCGCCUACCCAGUUCCUAGGAGCACCUCCUACCAGCCCUCUGGUGCAUCCCCCAGUAUCUGUUUCUCAAGGAGCCAACCACGGACCACCUUCAGCAAGUUUCUUUAUUGGGUCAGUUUUAUAAUUUCCACAGGACUGUGGCCAGAAUAUCCUGAAUGGCUUUUGAAUUCUUUACUGGUUCAUGUGAGUUCCAGCGUGCUUUUCUGAGAAGGAGUUUGCAGUGACAGGUACCAGGUGGCUAAACAUGGUUAUUGUUUGAAUUUAAAGCAGUAGGCAACUCUGUUGAAAGCAGCCCUUGUUAGGUUCCUAAGUCAGCAUGGAAGGAAGGGAUCAUGGAAUAAAAGUCCCAUGUAUCAGAGAAGGGGGAAGGAUACAUUAGGGGUUUGGGAUUAGGGGACACACACUACCAUGUAUAAAGUAGAUAACCACUAAGGGCCUACUGUAUAGCAUGAGGAACUAUAUUCAACAUUUUGUAAUAACCUAUAAAAGAAAAGGGGGCUUCUCAGGUGGUGUAGUGAUUAAGAAUCCACCUGCCAAUGCAGAAGAUGCAGGUUCAAUGCCUAGGUCCGAAUACUGGAGUGGGUUGCCAUGCCCUCCUCCAGGGGAUCUUUCCAACCCAGGGAUUGAAUCUGCAUUGCAGGUAGAUUCUUUACCAUCUGAGCUACCAGGGAAGCCCAUGUUUCUCUGUAACAUAUUAUAAAGAAAAGCCUCUAUAACAAAAUGCAUCAAAUGAAAACUAAAAUUGCACUCAGGAUGCUUGAUUUGAGGUCAUAAAAAUGUGCAAAAAUCCAUGUUACCCCUUGUUGAAAAGGUCUUCGUGUGGGACUGAGUGAUAGCUGGACUUUCUGGAAGCCGCUAGGUGAUGGGAUGAGCUGCCAAGUAGAAUUUUAACUUCCGCUUGGAAUGCCGCCUCUCACAGACUUAAAUCCUGGAUCCUUGCUGCCAGGCAAGUAUAUCUGUGGUGCUUUAUAUUCUAUUACCCCAUAAUAUACAAUGCGUUUUAUUUAUGUUAGUCAUCUUUUAUACAGAACUGUCACAAAACACGUCACUGUUGAUUACAGCCCACGUGGGCCAGCCACACUGGUGAAUUACGCCCCUUCCCAUCCAUCAUGCCAGUGGUACCUGGCUGGGAAGAGAGGGGGAUAAAUCCAAAACAAUGAUGGAUGCACUUUAAGAGGUUAAAAGAUGACUGGGUAGGGAGACAAACCUACAUUAAAAAUACCUACAGGUACUGUCUUUUAUCUUCUAACAUUUUAUCUCCAUCUUCAUCUCCUUAGAACGUGUUUUGUCCAGCUGCUAUGAACCUGACAUGUGGACAUGACCCUACUCAUCUCUAUAAUUCUCUUUGUCUUGAAGUUGUCUUUGUCUGAGUCAAUAGAAACACCCUAGCUUUCUUAGGAUUAGUGUUUCAUGGAUAUCUUUUUCUAUAUUUUUACUUCCAAUCUGUCUGUAUAUUUGUAUUUAAAGUGAAUCUCUUGGCACUUCCUUGGCAGUCCAAUGGUUAGGACUUGGUGCUUUUACUGCAUGGGCCCAAGUUCAGUCCCUGGUCAGGGAACUAAGAUCCACAAGCUGCAUGGUGUGGCCAAAAAAAAAGUAAACUGAUAUCUCUUAUAAACAGUAUUUAUUUAAUCAGAUUUUGCUUUUAAUAAAAGCCAGUAUAAUACUUUGCCCCUCUUCCCCAUAACAUCUUUUUGGAAGUCUUAGAAUGUUCCUUUAUCUCCUAAACUCUGUAGAAUCUCUCAUUAACAUAUUUUAAAGUGGCCCUAUAUUAUAUGUAUGUGAAAGUGUUAGUUGCUCAGUUGUGUCUGACUCUUUGCAACCCAUGGACUGUAGCCCAUCAGGCUCCUCUGUCCAUGGAAUUCUCCAGGCAGGAAUACUGUAGGGUGCAGCCAUUCCCUUCUUCAGGCGAUCAUCCCAACCCACGGAUCGAACCUGGGUCUCCUGAACUGGAGGCAGAUUCUUUACCCUCUGAGCCACCAGUGAAGGCCAAGUAUAAAUAAUAUAAAUGUGUCUAAAUACUGUCUUAGUGCCAGGUGGGUUCUUUACCACUAGCGCUACCUGGGAAGCCCAUAACCCAGUGAUGGUGGUUAUUAGGAUUUGUUGAAAGAUUAGGGAGAGGCGAUAGCAGGGAGAACACAGUCUGAGGGUUGACUUAGGCCAAGUCAAAGAGAACCUUAUCAAACAUAUUAAGCAGUUUGCCCUUAAUCCUGGGAGUAACAGGGAGCUGUUAAGGGGAUUUACGUAGAAGAGUGACAAGGGGGAUCCUUAGUCUAAAAUGAUCACUCUGCCUUCUUUGGAGAGAAAUGAAGGUUAGGUUGGAUCUUUUGAGUGGAGUUGGUGAGAGCCGAGAGCAACCUCGUUUCUGACAGUGAUGAUAGGAAGAGAGAUGAGUGAUAAAUUGGGGAUGGUAUAAUUUUUAAAAAGAGAUGAUAUUUUAUGUGUAUAGGAAAGGCUCAUGGUGUCAGGUUUGGGCAGUCAGAGGAGUGUGGAGAGGUUCACAGCAUGAGGACAUAGGAAAAGGGACAGGUGUGGAGAGGGGAUGAUACCAUUUGCAGGUGAGGUGCUCAUGAGACUUUCGAGUCGUGUUAGC
ensembl:lncRNA